AUUAUUUUUUGUAAAAAAAAAAAAAAAAAAAAAAAAAUCUGUUCUUAUCAGUUUAAUAUCUGAUACGUCCCCCAUCGGGGGACUACAUAUUAAAUGGAUUUUUCGAACAGGGAGUCGGAAAUGGGGCUUGCUCCGUCCGCUCCACGCAUCGACCCGGUAUUGCAGUACCUCCGGGAACGGUGCAACACUU
ensembl:snRNA U2 U2 spliceosomal RNA